rnacentral:rRNA from 1 species
GUCUCCGUAACGGAAAACCGAUCAAUAAAAGUUGAAUCUUUUAUAUUUUGUUGGAUUUAAAAACAUGACAACGAUAUACAAAAGAUAAAAAUUAGCGAAUUGAACCAUCUAAGUAGCUAAUAAAAAAAUCAACCGAGAAUAUCGUAAGUAGUGGCGAGCGAACACGGUAAAGGCUUUUUUGUCUUUAGGUAGAUCUAAUUCGAUUACCAAAAACAAAUUUAAUUGGUUUAACACUAAUUUAAACUUCCAAAGAAGGUAUUUUUGAGUAAGUCCUGUAAAAUUUAGUCAUAACAAUUAAAAAACAGUAAAAUAAAACAAGUCAUGUUUUGUUUGAAGAUUGAGGUCCCACCCUCAAAGCCUAAAUAAUUUUUGAUGAUAGAUAGCGAACUAGUACCGUGAGGGAAAUGGGUGAAAUUUAAUGCUGACAAUCAGUUGAAGCUUAAAAAUUUUUAAAAGUGACAGCGAUCCUUUUGCAUAAUGCGUCAACGAGUUUAUUUUAGAGGCAAGCUUAAGCUGUGUAAAGUGUAGGCUAAAAGAAACUAAAAAAGUCUUAAAUUGCUUUUUAAGUCACUAAAAUAAGACCCGAAACUAAGUGAUCUAACCAUGAACAGGUUGAAUUUAAAGCGGCAACGCUUAUUGGAGGACCGAACCCGUGUAUGUGGAAAUAUACUGGGAUGAUUUGUGGUUAGGGGUGAAAGGCCAAUCAAACUUAGAGAUAGCUGGUUUUCUGCGAAAUCUAUUUAAGUAGAGCGUUUAAAAACUUUGAUUUGAGGUAGAGCUCUUAAUAAAUAAGGGGGGUGUAAAACUUUACCGAAUUUAAUAAAACUUCGAAUACAAAACAAAAGAGUUUAAGCAGACAGACUGUGAGUGCUAAGAUUCAUAGUCAAGAGGGAAACAGCCCAGACUAUUUGUUAAGGCCCUUAAAAGUAAUUAAGUGAAAAAGAAAGUGAAAAAAUUUUAACAACCGGAAGGUAGGCUUGGAAGCAGCCAUCCUUUAAAGAAAGCGUAACAGCUCACUGGUUUAGUUUUUUUGCGUCAAAAAUGUAGAGGGACUAAAAUUACUUGCCGAAGCAAUAGAUUUAAAUUGUUAAAAUUUAAAUGGUAGCAGAACGUUCUGUAAAUCAACGGAGGUUUAUGGUGACAUAAACUGGAGAAAUCAGAAGUGUAAAUGUUGACAUGAGUAGCGAAAAACAAUGUACAAGCAUUGUUGCCUUAAGUUCAAGGUUUCCAAAGCAAGUCUAUCCCUCUUUGGUUGAAUCGGUCCCUAAGGUCUUAACGAAAGUUAAAGAUUGAUGGAAAAUAAUAUUAUUGUAAUUUAAAGUGACAAAAUAUAAAGAUCAUUUUUAUCUAAUGGUUUUGAUAAAAGUUUUUUAGUAUUUUCAAGAAAUAGCUUUAGUAAAAUUAACCGUACUGUAAACCGACACAGGUGAUCAGGUAGAGAAUACCAAGGCGCUUGAGAGAACUCGGGUGAAGGAACUAGGCAAAAUGGUACCGUAACUUCGGGAGAAGGUACGCCGGUUUUGGUGAUGGGACUUGCUCCCUAAGCUGAGGCCGGUCGAAGUGACCAGGUGGCUGCGACUGUUUAUUAAAAACACAGCACUGUGCAAACACGAAAGUGGACGUAUACGGUGUGACGCCUGCCCGGUGCCGGAAGGUUAAUUGAUGGGGUUAUCUUCGGAGAAGCUCUUGAUCGAAGCCCCGGUAAACGGCGGCCGUAACAAUAACGGU